rnacentral:rRNA from 1 species
UACGUAGGUGGCAAGCGUUGUCCGGAUUACUGGGCGUAAGAGCGCGCAGGCGGUCGGAUAAGUCGAAUGUGAAAGCCCCCGGCUCAACUGGGGAGGGUCAUUCGAUACUGUUCGACUCGAAGGCAGGAGAGGGAAGUGGAAUUCCUGGUGUAGCGGUGAAAUGCGCAGAUAUCAGGAGGAACACCGGUGGCGAAGGCGGAUCUCUGGGCCUGUCCUGACGCUCAGGCGCGAAAGCUAGGGGAGCAAACGGG